rnacentral:rRNA from 1 species
ACGCGAAGAACCUUACCAGGUCUUGACAUCCUCUGAAACCCCUAGAGAUAGGGCGUUCCCCUUCGGGGGACAGAGUGACAGGUGGUGCAUGGUUGUCGUCAGCUCGUGUCGUGAGAUGUUGGGUUAAGUCCCGCAACGAGCGCAACCCUUAAGCUUAGUUGCCAUCAUUAAGUUGGGCACUCUAGGUUGACUGCCGGUGACAAACCGGAGGAAGGUGGGGAUGACGUCAAAUCAUCAUGCCCCUUAUGAUUUGGGCUACACACGUGCUACAAUGGAUAAUACAAAGGGCAGCGAACCCGCGAGGUCAAGCAAAUCCCAUAAAAUUAUUCUCAGUUCGGAUUGUAGUCUGCAACUCGACUACAUGAAGCUGGAAUCGCUAGUAAUCGUAGAUCAGCAUGCUACGGUGAAUACGUUCC